rnacentral:rRNA from 1 species
CUGGAGACAGGUGCUGCAUGGCUGUCGUCAGCUCGUGUCGUGAGAUGUUGGUUAAGUCCCGCAACGAGCGCAACCCUUGCCUUUAGUUGCCAGCAGUUCGGCUGGGCACUCUAAAGGGACUGCCGGUGUUAAACCGGAGGAAGGUGGGGAUGACGUCAAGUCCUCAUGGCCUUUAUGACCAGGGCUACGCACGUACUACAAUGGCCGAUACAAAGGGCAGCGACACUGCGAGGUGAAGCCAAUCCCGUAAAAUCGGUCUCAGUCCGGAUUGGAGUCUGCAACUCGACUCCAUGAAGUUGGAAUCGCUAGUAAUCGUGGAUCAGCAUGCCACGGUGAAUACGUUCCCGGGCCUU